UACAGAGGGUGCGAGCGUUGUUCGGAAUUAUUGGGCGUAAAGAGCUCGUAGGCGGCCGGUUGCGUCUGCUGUGAAAUCCCGGGGCUUAACCCCGGGCGUGCAGUGGAUACGGGCCGGCUGGAGGCAGGCAGGGGAGAAUGGAAUUCCCGGUGUAGCGGUGAAAUGCGCAGAUAUCGGGAGGAACACCGGUGGCGAAGGCGGUUCUCUGGGCCUGUACUGACGCUGAGGAGCGAAAGCGUGGGGAGCGAACAGG
rnacentral:rRNA from 1 species